CUGGUUAUUUCCCUGUUAUGUUAAAAUAACAGUAUUUUACACAUUUCCCUUUAACAAUAUUAUUCUUAUUCAAAAUGAACAAGUGAACAAAAUCAUAUUAAAUUGUUAUACCUGAGACUCGUAUCUUUAUACUUAAGCCUUUAAAAUAUCACUUAAUUAUAACCCCAGAGUCAUUUUAUGUACAGAUACAAGAAAACAGGAGACCCUGCCUGUUUUUUUAUUGUUAAGUCUGAUUAUUAUGUACAGCACAAGGUAUCACUCCGGUCGACAUGAUUCAUCUCAGAUCAUAACAUAUGCGGUAAUGAAACAUUUUCCUUCCCAACAUGUGACUGUGUCUUCUCUCUGCCAAUUCACAGUGCAAGAUUUGCUAAUUGAGAAAAAUGAAAUAUAGCUUCUGUAAAAAAAAAAAAAAAAACAUUAUUCAAAAGGAACUAUUCUAUUUACUGAUGUUUUAAACAAAGUAUUGUAAGAUCAAAUCAGGAAUUUUAAACUCUACAAUAAAUUAGCUUUCAUAGAGAGAAAAUAGUUUAAAUAUGUUUGGUCAUUAUCAGUUUACUGGGUC
rnacentral:lncRNA from 1 species